AAAAAAAACAAACUCUGGUUUCCGUGUCCAAUAUUUAACCGUUCGUCUUAUUUGAAAAAAUUAUUAAAAAAAUUAAAAAGAUAAGUCACGCAUAAAAUAUUAGUCAUGUUUUAUCAUCUAACAACAAUGAAAAUACGAAUUAUAAACAAAUUUCAUAUAAGACUGACAGUUAAAAUUGGACACGAAAACCUAGGGUUUGUCUUUUU
rnacentral:pre_miRNA from 1 species